GUGGAGCCUGCGGCUUAAUUUGACUCAACACGGGGAACCUCACCGGGCCCGGACACCAGAAGGAUUGACAGAUUAAGAGCUCUUUCUCGAUUCGGUGGGUGGUGGUGCAUGGCCGUUCUUAGUUGGUGGAGUGAUUUGUCUGGUUAAUUCCGGUAACGAACGAGACUCUGGCCUACUAAAUAGUCGACGGGCGUUUUGGUGCAUGGGCCCCGUUCGACACAGUCUUCUUAGAGGGAUGAGCAGCGAGUAUAGCUGCAGGAGAUUGAGCAAUAACAGGUCUGUGAUGCCCUUAGAUGUCCUGGGCCGCACGCGCGCUACACUGAAUGGGUUAGCGGGUCGUCCUUCUCCGAGAGGAGCGGGAAAUCGCUUGAAAACCAUUCGUGAUAGGGAUUGGGGCUUGCAAUUGUUUCCCAUGAACGAGGAAUUCCCAGUAAGCGCGAGUCAUCAGCUCGCGUUGAUUAAGUCCCUGCCCUUUGUACACACCGCCCGUCGCUACUACCGAUUGAAUGAUUUAGUGAGGCCUUCGGACUGGCGGUCCCGGACUGGGGCGACGGCGUUUCCCCUCGGGGUCGCCGCCGACCCGCCGGGACGUGCCGGAAAGAUGUCCAAACUUGAUCAUUUAGAGGAAGUAAAAGUCGUAACAAGGUUUCC
rnacentral:rRNA from 1 species